UGGCUGUAAAGGCAACUCACUUUUUCUCUUGCUUUCUCUCUAUCCUACACAGGACAUGCUCCUUUUUCAAAUCCCCUUUGAUACGAUCUUCACCCCCUUUUCUUUUUCAUUUGUUCUCUUCUCCUUUUCUUCAACAUUUAUAAUUAAUACAUGCUUCAGCUCAUAUAUGAUUAUUAUAUCAUGGUAGGUCCAUAUUUAACAUUUUUUUAAAACAUUAUAUGCUGUCAAGUUUGGAAUAUCUUUCAUAAUUUAAAUUAAUCAAUUAUGAGAAUUUAAAUCUCUAUUAUUUAACUCUCCCUCCGUGAGGUAUAUGUUUAUAUAUGCAUAUAAUAUGGUUUUAUAGACGACGUACGUGGCGGUCCAGUUGAGUCUAUGGCUGACUUACUUGGAGAGGAGCCGUGUAGGAU
rnacentral:misc_RNA from 1 species